AUCCAUGCUGAGUAGGGACAUAGUCUAGUAGGAGGGGCAGGGGGCCCAGGAUGAUUGUCCUGGGUACCAAAUCUGGCCUUUCUACUCCACAGCUGGGUGGGUGAGCUUGGGGGAAAAGUCUUCCAUCUUGAAUAUCUUCCCUUUCUCCCCAAAUGGGGGAACAAUCCCAUCUCUGUGAGAAUUGAAUGGGAUUGACCAAAAAAAGAAAAGCCACCCUUCCCACCCCCCAGCUUCACAAGUGUCUGCCAAGUCCCCAGGGAUCCCUAGCCAGGCAGGAGCUCCCAAGCUGAGGCUCAGGCAUGGGCAGGCUUGCCCAGAGGUGGUAAAGAGGUGCCAGCUCAGUCUGUGCCAGGUGCUGAGGCUAUUCAGAAUGCAGACUCACAGGACCACACUGAGCCCUUAUUGGCAGCCUUCUGUAUGCUGACAUCAGGAAAUCCCAAGAAGAUGGUGGAUUCUUAGAGCAUCUUUCCCAGGAUGCUGGGCAUGGACAGAGCUCCAUUCAAGGCCAGAGGACUGUUCCACGGUUCCCAAUCUCCUUGAAACUCUCCUCAAAGCUAGCUUGUGUAUAUAGUCUCCGGUGUACCAGCCACUGGACUCACAAUCUCCAACUACUGCCGGCAGGGCUGGCAUGCCUGCAGCCCUGGCUGAUCCUCUGAGGGGACAUGCAUGCAUCGAGCACCAGCAGAUAAUUGAACAGAUUACACAGAGUGUGGAAACG